CGCUGCUGCAGAGACCCCGCCUGGCCCGCGGGCCGCGCCCGGGAAGGGACCCUGGCUCCCCAAAUCAAAGCGAGCUGUAAGGCAUCUUUAAAAAGCUCAGACAGAAGCGUUCGACGGAGACCCUCAGUCCUUGCUGGACAAGCCACUGCCACUUGAAGUUUUAAGGAAUGGUUGAAGGGCGCACAGAGGAACAUUUGGUUAUACAAAAGGAUUGAUUUUUACGAGAAGCUUCAAACGACGCCCCGGAAAGUAGGACAAGAUUAUCUGUAAAUCAGAUAAGAAGGAUUCUGAAAGUAAAAGAUACCUUAGUUGCUUACAUCAGAUGUAUUCCACCUCGCUCGCCAACGUGGAGUUCUGCAGGAGGAGUAACCUUCCAGAACAAACGAGGAGUAAGCCUGCCUCUCCAGGGAUGACCACAGCACCCCUCACCCUGGAACAAGUAAGUCAGAAGUCCCGUGUUCUGGUGGGCUUCUCUCUUUUCUCUGCCCAGACAGUUAGAGGGUGUGGUUCCCAGGAGAUCGAAGAACAAGUUAAAGCAGGAGUACAAGCCCCAGAUGCCCGAGUUGGGAGGUUGGGGUCAGAGCAGGACGCUGAGCUGAAGAUUAGAGUCGCAGCAGCUCUGGGCAGUGCCUGAAGGCAGGAGCGUGAGCGCCUGCCCUCCGUGGAGUGGGGGUGAAGGUCACGGCGGUUUUAGGGAGGCCGAGUGAGACGGGUGAGCAGCCGGAGAAUAUGGACGUUCCCACGAAGACGCAGCAGGAGGGUGAAGGGGCGUGAAUCUCCCCCCAGUUCCUUGGUGAGUAAGAGCAAAGAGCCAAGAAUUACAGUUAUAGUGGAGGUGAGGGCACUUCCCCACGGCACUUUGCCUUCAGAGUUUAUAUGUUGUUUUUUCUUUUUUGAUUCUAGGAGGCUAAGGCAGCAAGUCGAUACUGGACUAACUAUGUGGAUUGAGAAAGCGAAUGUAGUGUCUCACCUGCAUGAAAAGAAUGAAGAAAUGUUGAAACUCCCCCCAAAAUAAUUAAAUGGCAGAUUUCUUUUUCUUCAAAUUUAUGACAAGAAAAUAUGGUAUUAUCUAGUAAAUAAUAAUAUAAACCCAGAAAUAUGAAUAAAAAUCAGUAGAAAUAAGAAUCA
rnacentral:lncRNA from 1 species